rnacentral:rRNA from 1 species
UACAGAGGUCCCGAGCGUUGUUCGGAUUCAUUGGGCGUAAAGGGUGCGUAGGCGGCGGGGCAAGUCUGAUGUGAAAUCCCGGGGCUCAACCCCGGAACUGCAUUGGAUACUGCCUUGCUCGAGUACUGGAGAGGGAACUGGAAUUUACGGUGUAGCAGUGAAAUGCGUAGAGAUCGUAAGGAACACCAGUGGCGAAGGCGAGUCUCUGGACGACACCUGACACUGAGGCACGAAAGCUAGGGGAGCAAACAGG